UACGUAGGUGGCAAGCGUUGUCCGGAAUUAUUGGGCUUAAAGCGCGCGCAGGCGGCCUUUUAAGUCUGAUGUGAAAGCCCACGGCUCAACCGUGGAAGGUCAUUGGAAACUGAAAGGCUUGAGUACAGAAGAGGAAAGCGGAAUUCCACGUGUAGCGGUGAAAUGCGUAGAGAUGUGGAGGAACACCAGUGGCGAAGGCGGCUUUCUGGUCUGUAACUGACGCUGAGGCGCGAAAGCGUGGGGAGCAAACAGG
rnacentral:rRNA from 1 species